rnacentral:rRNA from 1 species
UGCAAGUCGAACGAUGAUCCCAGCUAGCUGGGGGAUUAGUGGCGAACGGGUGAGUAACACGUGAGUAACCUGCCCUUGACUCUGGGAUAAGCCUGGGAAACUGGGUCUAAUACCGGAUACGACCAUCUGGCGCAUGUCAUGGUGGUGGAAAGCUUUUGUGGUUUUGGAUGGACUCGCGGCCUAUCAGCUUGUUGGUGGGGUAAUGGCCUACCAAGGCGACGACGGGUAGCCGGCCUGAGAGGGUGACCGGCCACACUGGGACUGAGACACGGCCCAGACUCCUACGGGAGGCAGCAGUGGGGAAUAUUGCACAAUGGGCGCAAGCCUGAUGCAGCGACGCCGCGUGAGGGAUGACGGCCUUCGGGUUGUAAACCUCUUUCAGUAGGGAAGAAGCGUAAGUGACGGUACCUGCAGAAGAAGCGCCGGCUAACUACGUGCCAGCAGCCGCGGUAAUACGUAGGGCGCAAGCGUUAUCCGGAAUUAUUGGGCGUAAAGAGCUCGUAGGCGGUUUGUCGCGUCUGCUGUGAAAGACCGGGGCUCAACUCCGGUUCUGCAGUGGGUACGGGCAGACUAGAGUGCAGUAGGGGAGACUGGAAUUCCUGGUGUAGCGGUGAAAUGCGCAGAUAUCAGGAGGAACACCGAUGGCGAAGGCAGGUCUCUGGGCUGUAACUGACGCUGAGGAGCGAAAGCAUGGGGAGCGAACAGGAUUAGAUACCCUGGUAGAAGGGC